rnacentral:rRNA from 1 species
UACGUAGGGCGCAAGCGUUGUCCGGAAUUAUUGGGCGUAAAGAGCUCGUAGGCGGUUUGUCACGUCUGCUGUGAAAUCCCGAGGCUCAACCUCGGGCCUGCAGUGGGUACGGGCAGACUGGAGUGCGGUAGGGGAGAAUGGAAUUCCUGGUGUAGCGGUGAAAUGCGCAGAUAUCAGGAGGAACACCGGUGGCGAAGGCGGAUCUCUGGGCCAUUACUGACGCUGAGGAGCGAAAGCGUGGGGAGCGAACAGG